rnacentral:rRNA from 1 species
GACGAACGCUGGCGGCGUGCUUAACACGUGCAAGUCGAACGGAAAGGCCCUGCCUUUGUGGGGUGCUCGAGUGGCGAACGGGUGAGUAACACGUGAGUAACCUGCCCUUGACUUUGGGAUAACUUCAGGAAACUGGGGCUAAUACCGGAUAGGAGCUCCUGCUGCAUGGUGGGGGUUGGAAAGUUUCGGCGGUUGGGGAUGGACUCGCGGCUUAUCAGCUUGUUGGUGGGGUAGUGGCUUACCAAGGCUUUGACGGGUAGCCGGCCUGAGAGGGUGACCGGCCACAUUGGGACUGAGAUACGGCCCAGACUCCUACGGGAGGCAGCAGUGGGGAAUAUUGCACAAUGGGCGGAAGCCUGAUGCAGCAACGCCGCGUGCGGGAUGACGGCCUUCGGGUUGUAAACCGCUUUCGCCUGUGACGAAGCGUGAGUGACGGUAAUGGGGAAAGAAGCACCGGCUAACUACGU